rnacentral:lncRNA from 10 species
AUGAGAGUGAUCUGCCUGCAGCACCUGUCACCCUGUGGGUCCUCUGGGAGUAUAUGACUGAUAGAGCUGACUAGGCAGGUUUCUACUUCUUUCCACAUGCUACACAGGGAUCUCACCAAAGCUGAGCCCUUGGUGGAAAAGUGAACACUUUGCAGGUAGAGGUGGUAAGAGUCCUUCUUGCUACAAUCUUAAAUCAAGUCAUUUGAGUUCUCUAAGU